ACACACACAAAACCAUUACACCUUACCAUUAGAGAUCAUGGGAUAUGUUCAACAGAAACACAAAACAACAAUAUUGCAAUUUCCUACGUAAACAAGAAGAAAGGUAAGACAGACAUUGUCGUGUUCGUCGUGUUUUCUAACAUGUUCAAAGGGCUGCCUCACUUACAUGCAGAACAGCACAGUCAACGUCACAGACAAAAAUUGACAUUUUUUAUCUAAAACUAACUGCAACUGUACA